UCGCCCUUCGGUUGAUCCUGCCGGAGGCUACCGCUAUUGGAGUUCGAUUAAGCCAUGCGAGUCGCGAGAAAUUAGAUUCUCGGCGUACCGCUCAGUAACACGUGGGUAACCUGCCCUAUGCUGGAUAAUAACCUCGGGAAACUGAGAAUAAUGCCCCAUAGUUCACCACACCUGGAACGGUGGGUGGAUGAAAGCUCCGGCGGCAUAGGAUGGGCCUGCGGCGUAUCAGGUUGUAGGGGGUGUAAUGUACCCUCUAGCCAUCUACGCGUACGGGUGUUGAGAGACAUAGCCCGGAGAUGGAUUCUGAGACACGAAUCCAGACCCUACGGGGUGCAGCAGGCGCGAAAACUUGGCAAUGCGAGAAAUCGUGACCAGGGAACUCCAAGUGCAUCGGGUAAGACCGGUGCUUUUCUUGACUCUAAAUAGGUCUUGGAAUAAGGGGUGGGUAAGGACGGUGCCAGCCGCCGCGGUAAUACCGGCGCCUCAAGUGGUAGUCGCUUUUAUUGGGCCUAAAACGUCCGUAGCCUGUCUGGUACAUUCGUGGGUAAAUCAACCAGCUCAACUGGUUGAAUUCUGCGAGGACGGUCAGACUUGGGACCGGGAGAGGUGUGGGGUACGCUCAGGGUAGGGGUAAAAUCCUGUCAUCCUGAGCGGACCACCUGUGGCGAAGGCGGUCUACCAGAACACGUCCGACGGUGAGGGAUGAAAGCUGGGGGAGCAAACCGGAUUAGAUACCCGGGUAGUCCCAGCUGUAAACUAUGCAAACUCGGUGAUGCAUUGGCUUGAUGCCAAUGCAGUGCCGCAGGGAAGCCGUUAAGUUUGCCGCCUGGGAAGUACGUACGCAAGUAUGAAACUUAAAGGAAUUGGCGGGGGAGCACCACAAGGGGUGAAGCCUGCGGUUCAAUUGGAGCCAACGCCAGAAAUCUUACCCGGAGAGACAGCAGAAUGAAGGUCAAGCUGAAGACUUUACCAGACAAGCUGAGAGGUGGUGCAUGGCCGUCGCCAGCUCGUGCCGUGAGAUGUCCUGUUAAGUCAGGUAACGAGCGAGAUCCCUGCCUCUAGUUGCCACCAUUACUCUCAGGAGUAGUGGGGCGAAUUAGCGGGACCGCCGCAGUUAAUGCGGAGGAAGGAAGGGGCCACGGCAGGUCAGUAUGCCCCGAAACUCUGGGGCCACACGCGGGCUGCAAUGGUAAUGACAAUGGGUUCCGAAUCCGAAAGGAGGAGGUAAUCCCCAAACAUUACCACAGUUAUGACUGAGGGCUGCAACUCGCCCUCACGAAUAUGGAAUCCCUAGUAACUGCGUGUCAUUAUCGCGCGGUGAAUACGUCCCUGCUCCUUGCACACACCGCC
rnacentral:rRNA from 1 species